ensembl:lncRNA uncharacterized LOC110074277
AUGCAGUCCAUGCAGCUGGCCCUUUAUGGCCAGUUUCAUGCACAGCUCAUAGCAAGUGAGUCAAGUUACCUCCAAGCUUGGAAAAACUUCACCUGGUUCCUUCAAAGACCUGCAGUUUAAAAGACACAUGAGAACUUCGCCCGGGUUCACUUUGCCUUCAGUCUGGCCAGCAGGUUGCCUCAUUGACUGGGGAGUCAGUCAAGACUUACUUCUGAGUAAACAGGAUGAAGAAUUGCAACGCCUUGGGCACAGAACUGCUGGCAAGGAGCCCUUAGAACCAAUAAAGCUCUGUGUGUGUGUGUGGGGGGGGUAAUGUGCCCCAGGAGGAAGGACGUCCCGCUGAACCCACUGGCUGGGCUUCCUUCUGAGUAAAGACAAAGAGGAGACCACCAGCGCUGGUGCAGGGAUUGGGUUGUUUGUCCACGUGCAAGAGGACCACAUUCCGGAUGUCCCUCUGUGUAUGUGUGUGAUCCUAUUGCUCUACCGGUUGUUGUGAGCCGCCUCGGGUCCUGUCUUAGUAGAAAGGUGGCAUAAAAAUUAAUAAAUCAGCGAACUGCACAAUGGAUGGUGGAUUCAGGAGGGAGAGUUGCGGAUCAGGGCCAGGCCAGCUGAGUUACAUUUCUCACCAGGGGUGGGUGGAGAGAGUUGACUUGGUGCUUAUAAAGGGUGGAGGAGGCAGGUGGGCCAACCCGCAAGGACACGGUGGGGCUACUGAGAGGGGAGGGGGGUCAGGAGACUAGAGGCAUCCUCCACCACCACCACUCGGGGCAAGGCAGAGCCAUGGGGAGGGCCCAGGCAGGUGUCGUGCUGUUUCUUCUUCUGUGGGGUCCGGGAGACCCCGGGGCUGGAGGAGAGAUGUGCCGCUCUUGGAUGUUUGGGAUCAAGACCCGGUACGGGCCCUUCCGCUGUCCCGGGAAGAAGGACCCAGCUUUCUCCAAGUACUGCUGCGGGACCUGCCUCCAGCCCUACUGCUGCCCCUGGCAGGACCACCGGCUCAACCAGACGGCCUGCUUGACCAGCGGAGACCUUGAGGGCCUCUCCUUCGAAGACCUGGCGGCCAUCCCGACCGUCAGCCCUGUGUUGACGACCAGCCCCCCAGCCUUGACCACCACGGCCGUCCGAGCUACCACCCUGGCGGUGCUUGUCGAGAAAGCACAUCGGCAAUAUAUCUGGGUCAUCCUUUUCGUCUUGUGUCUGGCAUCCUCUAUCAUUGUCGCAUACUGGCUUAUCAGGCGUUGUUUGAAUCGAAGGUUCAUUGCUGAGUGGCUGAGACGCCCAGCUGAAGACCCGCCAUCGCUGGAACUGGCCCAGGUUCCUCCACAACCAGAAGCCAAUGAGAAAUCUCCUCCAAGACCUGCCACCAUUGAGGUCCCUCAUGGGCCUAAGACUGCUGUAGACACUGAAGCACGAUCUCCAGGUGUUGAGGAUCUCCAGGGAAGCUGUGAGGUGCUUCCUUGUUUGGACAAACCCCUCAGUGGGCAACCUAGCCACCCACCCUCUGGAAGCCCUAAGAGAGAAGAGGAUUAUCUUGUCUUCAGCACCUCUCCAAAUAAUGCUGAGGGUCCAGUCCUGGAGCUAACCAUGGGAGCUGAAUCGGCAAUCUAAUAAGUAACCAGAGAUUCUCCCUUGAAGGAGAACUGCUGGACAACAGCCCAGUGGGCUCUAUAGCCACAGAUUUUUAGGAUCUGAACUUUUAAUUAGGAUUGGUUGACUGUUUGAUUUUCACUUCUUUUUAGACCUUACUUUAGAUUUCAUUUAUUUGCAGACAAUACACUGGUGUGGCAACAUCAGCACUGAGGUGUCCACCCUACACGUCCCUAUCAGCACAUAGGAAGAAAAUAGGUAAUCUCCCCACCUCACCCCACAAGUUUUUCCUCUCCAGUGUGGAUUUGUGUACUGAACAAAGUAAACAGCACAACAUCUAUGGAUUUCAAGUUCUCCUGAUACUUGCACACCCCAUCUUUAGCUGCCAGUGUAGGACAUGUUUGGUCUUGAAAUAUGAAUGCAUAAUUAAGACAGCCUGCCUUCAAACCUGACCACUCAGGGAUGUUCUAUUCUAGAAAUAAGGAAUAUGGCCUACAUGGCAUCAUUGCAGCUGUCUGAAACCACACAGCAUGCAUGGCUUCAUCCUGCAGAACCCUGAGGCUUGUAGUUGGUGACUUGGAAUUCUUUACUGUACAUCAGGAGAAUGCGCUAUAGCGCUGUAGUGCUAUAGCACAGACCAAAUCCAUCACCAAACUAUACAUUCCAGAAUUUUGUAGGAGGAAGGCAUGGACAUCAAAAUGGCAGCAACCUUACUACGAGUGUUUUGUGUGCGUACCCUCUGAGUUGUGUAGCUUAAAGGGAAAGGGGUAUGUUUGUACAUAGGAUGACUUCUGUGAAGGCCAAGCUGUUUGCCAGAGGAAAAAAUGACACGGAUAUCACAAUGUUGUCCAAAGCUAGCAGAGUGACGACCACUGACCAGUCAUAGCAUGUAGGCUGUCUUUUUUUAGCAGACAUCUUAAUGCCAUACAAACAACAAAACAAUCAUGAGCUGCCCUGUGAAACAAUUAAGCAGUGAACUCCUUCUUAACUUUUAUUCUUGGGUGGUGGGAAUAUUCUUCACGUGGUUUCACUUUUGAAUAAAUGUGUUUUGUAACUUAAUGUUGACA